AUGAAGAGCAGCUGCUCCGACAGCGGCAGCACCAGCGGGCCGAGCGUCGUGAUGUUGGUCUUGAGCGCGUCGCCGGCCACCGCCAUCAGGUCCUUGGAGAGCGACACGCCCACCUUGCCGUCCCCGUCCUCCUGCUGCGUCACGCAGCCGAAGCACUUGUCGUCGGCGCCCUUGUGGGUGCGCACCGUGUGCACCAGCUCGUACUUGGACCGCCGCCGGUCCGAUCUCUUGUUCGAGAGCAGGAUCGCCGCGCCGCCCAUCCGGAACAGGCAGUUGGACACCAGCAUGGAGCGGUCGUUCCCGAAGUACCAGUUGAGGGUGAUGUUCUCCAUGCUGACCACCAGCGCGUACGAGCUGGGGUGCACCUGCAGCAGGUCCUUGGCGAGGUCGACGGACAGCAGCCCGGCGCUGCACCCCAUGCCGCCGAGGUUGUAG
rnacentral:rRNA from 1 species